GUGUGGUAGUAAGUUUAUCAGAACAGGGGGGUGUGGUAGUAAGUUUAUCAGAACAGGGGGGUGUGGUAGUAAGUUUAUUAGAACAGGGGGUGUGGUAGUAAGUUUAUCAGAACAGGGGGUGUGGUAGUAAGUUUAUUAGAACAGGGGGUGUGGUAGUAAGUUUAUCAGAACAGGGGGUGUGGUAGUAAGUUUAUCAGAACAGGGGGUGUGGUAGUAAGUUUAUCAGAACAGGGGGGUGUGGUAGUAAGUUUAUUAGAACAGGGGGUGUGGUAGUAAGUUUAUCAGAACAGGGGGGUGUGGUAGUAAGUUUAUCAGAACAGGGGGGUGUGGUAGUAAGUUUAUUAGAACAGGGGGUGUGGUAGUAAGUUUAUCAGAACAGGGGGGUGUGGUAGUAAGUUUAUUAGAACAGGGGGUGUGGUAGUA